rnacentral:tRNA from 1 species
GCCGUUUUGGUUCAGUGGAUAGAACGUCAGCCUGAGGUCUGAAGGGUUCGGGUUCGAUUCCAGGCAAGGGCA